rnacentral:rRNA from 1 species
AAUGCUUAGGAAUCUGCCUAUUAGUGAGGGACAACAUUCCGAAAGGAAUGCUAAUACCGCAUACGCCCUACGGGGGAAAGCAGGGGAUCUUCGGACCUUGCGCUAAUAGAUGAGCCUAAGUCAGAUUAGCUAGUUGGUGGGGUAAAGGCCUACCAAGGCGACGAUCUGUAGCGGGUCUGAGAGGAUGAUCCGCCACACUGGGACUGAGACACGGCCCAGACUCCUACGGGAGGCAGCAGUGGGGAAUAUUGGACAAUGGGCGCAAGCCUGAUCCAGCCAUGCCGCGUGUGUGAAGAAGGCCUUUUGGUUGUAAAGCACUUUAAGCGAGGAGGAGGCUACUUGGAUUAAUACUCUAGGAUAGUGGACGUUACUCGCAGAAUAAGCACCGGCUAACUCUGUGCCAGCAGCCGCGGUAAUACAGAGGGUGCGAGCGUUAAUCGGAUUUACUGGGCGUAAAGCGUGCGUAGGCGGCUUUUUAAGUCGGAUGUGAAAUCCCUGAGCUUAACUUAGGAAUUGCAUUCGAUACUGGGAAGCUAGAGUAUGGGAGAGGAUGGUAGAAUUCCAGGUGUAGCGGUGAAAUGCGUAGAGAUCUGGAGG